AUGGCGAAGCGCCCGCGCCGGUCCUACUCCCUGGAGUCCCGCGUGCGCCGAGUUAUCCUAUCGGAUGCCGGCCUCGCCGUCCCUGGCUCCUCCGCCGACGACGUCGCCCGCGCCAUCCGCUCCCGCCACCGCGAGUACCAACGCUACAAGUUGGAGUUAUUCGCCUCCGUUGUCCGCCGGGCCAUCUCCUCCCUACCUCCUGCCGGCGAUGCCUGCUCCGACAGUGCCUCCCCCCCCUCCCGCCGCUGCCGCAGUCAUGACACCACAUCGUCCUCCACCACCCUCUCGCCGCCUUCCCCUGCCUUUGACGUGACGAAAUCGCUGCUACGUUCCAGCUACUCCUCCCAAAAAUCCAAACGAGACCCCGACGCUAACCAGCAGCUCGAGAUGGAGGUCACCGCGGAGAAGGUUAUGAUGCCUGACGCUGAAGGAGGCCACAGUGGGGGGAAAGGGGUAAUGUUUGCUGACCUCGGGGGCAUGGAGUCGGUGAUAGAGAAGCUGAUGUUGGAGGUGGUGGUCCCGCUGUGCCAACCGGAGCUGCCACUGCAUCUUGGAGUGCGGCCUGUGACUGGGAUUCUGCUGCACGGACCUCCUGGCUGUGGGAAGACCACGCUUGCCCACGCAAUUGCCAACGAGACAGGCGUGCCGUUCUACAAAAUCUCGGCCACCGAAGUUGUGUCUGGGGUCUCCGGAGCUUCUGAGGAAAACAUCAGAACCUUGUUUAGCAAGGCAUACAGGACUGCUCCCUCAAUUGUAUUUAUAGACGAGAUAGAUGCAAUUGCAUCCAAGCGGGAGAAUAUGCAACGAGAGAUGGAACGACGUGUAGUUACACAGUUGAUGACAUGCAUGGAUGAAUUCCACCAGAAUUUUCGAUCGUAUGCUACUGAUGACAUGGAUGAUUCACAAUCAUAUGAAAAGAAGAAGCCUGGCUAUGUUAUUGUUAUUGGAGCUACGAAUAGACCUGAUGCUGUUGACCAAGCGCUUCGAAGACCAGGAAGGUUUGAUCGGGAAAUAUCUCUUGGUGUUCCAGAUGAGAAUGCACGGAAACAGAUACUGGAGAGGCUUGCUCAGAAACUUCGAUUGCCACCAGAAGGCCAGUUUAAUUUGUUGAAGAUAGCAAAGGCCACGCCAGGAUUUGUUGGUGCAGACUUGAAGGCGUUGGUUGAUACAGCAGGGAGUGUAGCUAUAAAAAGAAUAGUUUAUGCAAGAAAAGACAAGUGUUUGAAGGAAGGAAACAACAAGCAGGACUACUGGAGGCAUCCUUGGGAUCGGCACGAGCUGCAGCAGCUAAGUAUUACAAUGGAUGACUUUGAGGAAGCCAUCACCGAAAUAGUUCAACCAUCAAUGAGAAGAGAAGGAUUUUCUUCUGUGCCUGAUGUCACAUGGGCUUGUGUCGGAGGUCUUGAUUCAUUAAAGAAGGAAUUGGACCGCUCCAUCGUUCAAUGUAUCAAGUACCCUGAAUAUUAUAAGAAAUUUGGAGUUAACAUGCAAGCUGGUGUGUUGCUGUUUGGACCUCCGGGCUGUGGGAAAACACUAAUAGCAAAAGCAGUUGCACACGACUCAGGGGCUAAUUUUAUUCAUAUUAAGGGUCCUGAAGUAUUGAACAGGUAUGUUGGGGAGAGUGAAUCAGAUAUAAGGAAGAUAUUCACCCGUGCACGAAUCAACUCCCCGUGCAUUCUAUUUUUUGACGAGGUAGAUGCUCUGACAACAAAAAGAGGGAAGGAGGGAGCAUGGGUUGUUGAACGUCUCCUAAACCAGUUACUUAUUGAACUUGAUGGUGCUGAUCAGCGUGAAGGUGUUUAUGUUAUUGGAGCUACAAAUAGAAUUGAUGUGAUAGAUGAUGCUCUUCUACGGCCUGGUAGAUUGGGGCAGAAGUAUUUUGUACCUUUGCCUAGUGCUAAUGAGCGACAUUCAAUAUUAAAAGCCCUAACACAUUCUCAGAAAAAACCUGUAUCCUGCACUGUUGAUUUGGAUGCACUUGCACGCCGUGAGGAGUGCAACAAUCUCACUGGUGCUGACCUAGCAUCGCUGGUGAACGAAGCAGCCAAGGUAGCGUUGGAAGAGAGUUUGAAACUCCUGGAGAAUGGAGCAUUAUCAAUAAGUUCAUCGUGUUCAGUUCCUUCGAUUGAAUUAUCGCACUUUGAGCAAGCUCUAUCUAAAAUCAAGCCGUCGGUGUCGGAACAGCAAAGGAAGCACUACGAGGCCUUGUCACAGAAAUACUCAGCAAACUGA
rnacentral:rRNA from 1 species